CCUACGGGUGGCAGCAGUGAGGAAUAUUGGUCAAUGGACGCAAGUCUGAACCAGCCAUGCCGCGUGCAGGAAGACGGCUCUAUGAGUUGUAAACUGCUUUUGUACGAGGGUAAAUCCCGGUACGUGAGUCGGGUUGAAUGUGUCCUACGAGUAAAGAUAGGCUAACUCCGUGCCAGAAGCCGCGGUAAUACGGAGGAUCCCAGCGUUAUCCGGAUUUAUUGGGUUUAAGGGGUGCGUAGGCGGUUCUAUAAGUUAGAGGUGAAAUCCCGGGGCUCAACUCCGGAACUGCCGUUGAUACUGUCGGGCUAGAGUGUAGUUGCGGUAGGCGGAAUGUAUGGUGUAGCGGUGAAAUGCAUAGAGAUCAUACAGAACACCGAUUGCGAAGGCAGCUUACCAAACUACGACUGACGUUGAGGCACGAAAGCGUGGGGAGCAAACAGGAUUAGAUACCCUAGUAGUC
rnacentral:rRNA from 1 species